rnacentral:lncRNA from 1 species
UUGGUCACCGCCAGCAUUCCCUUCAAGUUACCGAUCAACAGAACCUUGGCUAUCUCUCUCCCUCGUGCCUGCAACAUGCCUGGUGUCCCAGUUCAAUGCAAAGGUAAAUUUCUUCAAUCUUUUUCAUUCAUAGUCUGUUUACCAACACGGCUAAUAGCAUGUUUCAAUCAACUUUUUCGUAUAAUUACUCAAAGUAGUCGAGUAGCUUUUCCCUAAAAGUAAUUUUGGUUUUAGAAUCAAUUGUUGAAAGAUUUCAAAACACGCUCUAAGAUGUUUAACUGUUUGCCCUUGCUUAUUUUGCAGCCUCUGGUUCCCCACUUCCUGCUCCAGGUAAUGGCAAAACACAAAAUUUCCAUUUCAAUAUAUAUUUUGGCCUAGAAAUAAAUACACCAUUUUUCUUUUUAAAUAUCUAACCUCUAGAAUGAUUUUGGUGUUUAUUCACAGGACCGGGGUCUCUUGGACUAUCCCCUGCAUCUGCUCCCUCUGGAUUUACCCCAACCCCUAGUCCUCAAGGUAAUUUCACUUUAAUGCAAGCACUUAAAGUUUCUUACUCUUAGUAUACUAACAUUAUAUUUUAAGUGCUAACUAAGAGUUUAUUAGUUUGUUAUUAACAUCAGGCUCUUAAUUUUCUUUGAGCAGCUUCUUCUGAACUUCCCUCACCAACUUCACCUUCAUUGGCACCUCAGUCUGACACAAGUGUUCCUCUAUUGACUCCACCAUCUCCAUCAGUGGAUUCUGAUACCCCAUCUUCAUCUACAGGAAGUGGCCGCUCCAAUCUGACUCCAUCAUCUGCCAUGACAUCUUACAAUGUCCCUCCUUCUGCUCUAUUGAUUGCACUGGGAUUCGCUGUUCUCAAAUACUACUAGGUUGUGUGUUUGUUAUAUCCUGUGAUGUUCUUCCAUUAGGUUGUUAUAUAUUCUUUACAGUGUGGCUAUGGCAGCAUAAUUUUUCUUUUCAUCUAGAUUGUUUUAGCCCCGCAUUCGGGGAGCAUUUAUCAGAUCAAAAAAGCAUUUGUAUUGUAAUGUACAUGAAAGGGAUGUAAAAUAAAGUUCUUAUGAUUAUAUUUUAUUCAGCCUUGAAGUUUCACUAGUUAUGUGAUUUUAUUCAGUACUGAAGAGACUUUAGACUAGAGGGGGAGCAAUGGAACAUAACAAUUUUAUGAUUACUCGCAUUUAAAGGAAAGAUUGUAGGAAAUACAUGUGAAUUUGGAAUCUCAUAUUGAGUAAUAAUAGGCAAGGAUAAUUAUCUCCCCCUACUUUCAGGUUCCCCUAUCUCCUCGCUAAUUAGCACAAUGAUCUGCCCCACAAUUUUAGGUUGACCUUAUUUGUGGCUCACGAGCCAUGGAGUUAGCUAUAUAUAUAAAUCUUGAAAAAUAAUCCAAAGCGAAGGGGGAUAAACAAAUUAAGCACUAGCAAAAGAAAACAUAGAGAUAGCGAGCCAGGCAUACCAAAAUGGCGAGAAAAAAUGUUGCAAUUUUGUUGAUGGUGUGCCUCGUAGUCAGCAGCAUUGUUGAGACGACGCAGGCGCGCCAGUUCACAUCAGAAGAGUGCUACACAUAUUGCUACGAAAGUUGCGUCUUCCUCUCCGCCAUUUGCAAU